CUACGGGUUGCAGCAGUGGGGGAUAUUGCACAAUGGGGGAAACCCUGAUGCAGCAACGCCGCGUGAAGGAAGACGGAUUUCGGUCUGUAAACUUCUAUCAGCAGGGAUGAAAAUGACAGUACCUGACUAAGAAGCCCCGGCUAACUACGUGCCAGCAGCCGCGGUAAUACGUAGGGGGCAAGCGUUAUCCGGAUUUACUGGGUGUAAAGGGUACGUAGGCGGUUUGUUAAGUCAGAUGUGAAAGCCCGGAGCUCAACUCCGGGACUGCAUUUGAAACUGGCGAACUAGAGUACAGGAGAGGAAAGCGGAAUUCCUAGUGUAGCGGUGAAAUGCGUAGAUAUUAGGAAGAACACCAGUGGCGAAGGCGGCUUUCUGGACUGUAACUGACGCUGAGGUACGAAAGCGUGGGGAGCGAACAGGAUUAGAUACCCUUGUAGUC
rnacentral:rRNA from 1 species